rnacentral:rRNA from 1 species
AGCGGAGGAAAAGAAACCAACAGGGAUUGCCCUAGUAWCGGCGAGUGAAGCGGCAACAGCUCAAAUUUGAAAUCUGGCUUCGGCCCGAGUUGUAAUUUGUAGAGGAUGCUUUUGGUGAGGUGCCUUCUGAGUUCCCUGGAACGGGACGCCAGAGAGGGUGAGAGCCCCGUAUAGUCGGCCACCGAUCCUCUGUAAAGCUCCUUCGACGAGUCGAGUAGUUUGGGAAUGCUGCUCAAAAUGGGAGGUAUAUCUCUUCUAAAGCUAAAUAUUGGCCAGAGACCGAUAGCGCACAAGUAGAGUGAUCGAAAGAUGAAAAGCACUUUGAAAAGAGGGUUAAAUAGCACGUGAAAUUGUUGAAAGGGAAGCGCUUGUGACCAGACUUGUGCCGGGCUGAUCAUCCAGUGUUCUCACUGGUGCACUCGACCCGGCUCAGGCCAGCGUCGGUUCUCGUAGGGGGAUAAAAGCUUCGGGAACGUGGCACCUUCGGGUGUGUUAUAGCCCGUUGCUUAAUACCCUUGUGGGGACCGAGGUUCGCGCUCUGCAAGGACGCUGGCAUAAUGGUCAUCAGCGACCCGUCUUGAAACACGGACCAAGGAGUCGAG